UACGGAGGGGGCUAGCGUUGUUCGGAAUUACUGGGCGUAAAGCGCACGUAGGCGGCUUUGUAAGUUAGAGGUGAAAGCCCAGGGCUCAACCCUGGAAUUGCCUUUAAGACUGCAUCGCUUGAAUCAUGGAGAGGUGAGUGGAAUUCCCAGUGUAGCGGUGAAAUGCGUAGAUAUUGGGAGGAACACCAGUGGCGAAGGCGGCUCACUGGACCGGAACUGACGCUGAGGCGCGAAAGCGUGGGGAGCAAACAGG
rnacentral:rRNA from 1 species